AAGGCCCUAGCUUGCUAGGUGUCCUUAGUGGCGCACGGGUGAGUAACACGUGGGAACAUACCUUAUAGUACGGAAUAACUGCGGGAAACUGUAGCUAAUACCGUAUAUUCCAGCAAUGGGAAAGAUUUAUCGCUAUAAGAUUGGCCCGCGCAAGAUUAGCUUGUUGGUGAGGUAAAAGCUCACCAAGGCUUCGAUCUUUAGCUGGUUUGAGAGGAUGAUCAGCCACACUGGGACUGAGACACGGCCCAGACUCCUACGGGAGGCAGCAGUAGGGAAUAUUGGACAAUGGGGGCAACCCUGGUCCAGCAAUGCAGCGUGAGUGACGAAGGCCAUAGGGUUGUAAAACUCUUUCAUCGGUGAGGAUAAUGACAGUAGCCGAAGAAGAAGGACCGGCUAAUUCCGUGCCAGCAGCCGCGGUAAUACGGAAGGUCCUAACGUUGUUCGGAAUUACUGGGCGUAAAGCGCAUGUAGGCGGAACAGAAAGUUAGAAGUGAAAUCCCUGGGCUCAACCUAGGAAUUGCUUUUAAAACUUCUGUUCUGGAAUUCAGGAGAGGAAAAUGGAAUUUCCAGUGUAGAGGUGAAAUUCGUAGAUAUUGGAAGGAACACCAGUGGCGAAGGCGAUUUUCUGGACUGAUAUUGACGCUGAGAUGCGAAGGCAUGGGUAGCAAACGGGAUUAGAUACCCCGGUAGUCCAUGCAGUAAACGAUGGGUGCUAGUCGUCGGACUUUUGUUCGGUGUCGUAGCUAACGCGUUAGGCACCCCGCCUGGGGAGUACGGUCGCAAGAUUAAAACUCAAAUAAAUUGACGGGGACCCGCACAAG
rnacentral:rRNA from 1 species